UACGAAGGGGGCUAGCGUUGCUCGGAAUUACUGGGCGUAAAGCGCACGUAGGCGGCUCUUUAAGUCGGAGGUGAAAUCCUGGAGCUCAACUCCAGAACUGCCUUCGAUACUGUAGAGCUUGAGUUCGGGAGAGGUGAGUGGAACUGCGAGUGUAGAGGUGAAAUUCGUAGAUAUUCGCAAGAACACCAGUGGCGAAGGCGGCUCACUGGCCCGAUACUGACGCUGAGGUGCGAAGGCGUGGGGAGCGAACGGG
rnacentral:rRNA from 1 species